rnacentral:rRNA from 1 species
AUGAACGCUGGCGGCGUGCCUAAUACAUGCAAGUCGAGCGAACAGACCAGGAGCUUGCUCCUCUGACGUUAGCGGCGGACGGGUGGGGAACACGUGGAUAACCUACCUAUAAUACUGGGGUAACUUCGGGAAACCGGCGCUAAUACCGACUGAUAUAUUGAACCGCAUGGUUCAAUAGGAAAAGACGGUUUUGCUGUCACUUAUAGGCGGAUCCACGUCGCGUUAGCUAGUUGGUAAGGUAACGGCCUACCAAGGCAACGAUGCGUAGCCGAUCUGAGAGGGUGAUCGGCCACACUGGAACUGAGACACGGUCCAGACUCCUACGGGAGGCAGCAGUAGGGAAUCUUGCGCAAUGGGCGCAAGCCUGACGGAGCAACGCCGCGUGAGUGAUGAAGGUCUUCGGAUCGUAAAACUCUGUUAUUAGGGAAGAACAAAUGUGUAAGUAACUACGCACGUCUUGACGGUACCUAAUCAAAAAGCCACGGCUAACUACGUG